rnacentral:lncRNA from 1 species
ACACAAGAAAAGUCCUACCGCUGCUUCCACUGUGGAAAGAGUUUUACUAAGUUAGGGGGCCUGAAUAGGCAUGAGAGGACACAUACAAGAGGGGAGAAGACCUACCACUGCUCUCAGUGUGGAAAGACAUUUUCCCAGUCAGAGGACCUGAAAUCACAUGCGAGAAUAUAGACGCUGUGUUCUGACUUAUGUUAUUGACCUGAGAAUUUAGGUUUUUGUUUUUGCCAAAUUAAAUCAUAUUGUUUAUAUGAAAUCAUUAACAAAAUAGACCUACUUUUGUUUUGUUUUUUUUUCCAUCUGGAAACCUGAUCAUGUCUAAAAUCAGACUAAAUAUUUAAAAAUGUGUAUUUUGUUUUCAUUAUUAGCUUCGAUUGAUUUUAUACAAGUAUAAACCCUCUGUUGUUCACUAUAUGAUUUGGAUAUUAUUAAAGUGAAGUUAAUAUAUAAGUAACAGGAGCCUUGGCUUGUCUGAUCCAGCUCAUAGUAACAGCAGCCUUGGCUUGUCUGGUCCAGCUCAUAGUAACAGCAGCCUUGGCUUGUCUGAUCCAGAACAGCUCAUAGUAACAGCAGCUUUGGCUUGUCUGAUCCAGAACGGCUCAUAGUAACAGGAGCCUUGGCUUGUCUGAUCCAGAACGGCUCAUAGUAACAGGAACCUUGGCUUGUCUGAUCCAGCUCAUAGUAACAGGAGCCUUGGCUUGUCUGAUCCAGCUCAUAGUAACAGCAGCCUUGGCUUGUCUGAUCCAGCUCAUAUUAAAAGGAGCCUUGGCUUGUCUGAUCCAGCUCAUAGUAAACAGGACCU